rnacentral:rRNA from 1 species
AACGUACGCUGGCGGCACGCCUAACACAUGCAAGUCGAACGAAGUAGCAAUACUUAGUGGCAGACGGGUGAGUAACAUGUGGGUAUCUGCCCUUUGGCCUGGAAUAACACGAGGAAACUUGUGCUAAUACCGGAUAAGUCUUUACGGAGAAAGCUUUAUGCACCAUUGGAUGAGCCCGCACUUGAUUAGUUUGUUGGUGGGGUAAUGGCCUACCAAGACUGUGAUCAAUAGCUGAUUUGAGAGGAUGAUCAGCCACAUUGGGACUGAGACACGGCCCAAACUCCUACGGGAGGCAGCAGUGGGGAAUCUUGCACAAUGGAGGAAACUCUGAUGCAGCGAUGCCGCGUGAGUGAAGAAGGCCCUUGGGUUGUAAAGCUCUUUCGUCGGGGAAGAAAAUGACUGUACCCGAAUAAGAAGGUCCGGCUAACUUCGUGCCAGCAGCCGCGGUAAUACGAAGGGACCUAGCGUAGUUCGGAAUUACUGGGCUUAAAGAGUUCGUAGGUGGUUGAAAAAGUUAGUGGUGAAAUCCCAGAGCUUAACUCUGGAACUGCCAUUAAAACUUUUCAGCUAGAGUAUGAUAGAGGAAAGCAGAAUUUCUAGUGUAGAGGUGAAAUUCGUAGAUAUUAGAAAGAAUACCAAUUGCGAGGGCAGCUUUCUGGAUCAUUACUGACACUGAGGAACGAAAGCAUGGGUAGCGAAGAGGAUUAGAUACCCUCGUAGUCCAUGCCGUAAACGAUGUGUGUUAGACGUUGGAAAUUUAUUUUCAGUGUCGCAGCGAAAGCGAUAAACACACCGCCUGGGGAGUACGACCGCAAGGUUAAAACUCAAAUGAAUUGACGGGGACCCGCACAAGUAGUGGAGCAUGUGGUUUAAUUCGAAGAUACGCGCAGAACCUUACCAACACUUGACAUGUUCGUCGCGACUCUAAGAGAUUAGAGUUUUCGGUUCGGCCGGACGAAACACAGGUGCUGCAUGGCUGUCGUCAGCUCGUGUCGUGAGAUGUUGGGUUAAGUCCCGCAACGAGCGCAACCCUCACUUUUAGUUGCCAUCAUUAAGUUGGGCACUCUGAAAGAACUGCCAGUGAUAAGCUGGAGGAAGGUGGGGAUGACGUCAAGUCCUCAUGGCCCUUACGUGUUGGGCUACACACGUGCUACAAUGGUAUCUACAACAGGAAGCAAGACUGCGAGGUCAAGCAAAUCCUUAAAAGAUACCUCAGUUCGGAUUGCACUCUGCAACUCGAGUGCAUGAAGCUGGAAUUACUAGUAAUCGUGGAUCAGCGUGCCACGGUGAAUGCGUUCCCGGGUCU